CCUACGGGAGGCAGCAGUGAGGAAUAUUGGUCAAUGGACGAGAGUCUGAACCAGCCAAGUAGCGUGAAGGAUGACUGCCCUACGGGUUGUAAACUUCUUUUAUAUGGGAAUAAAAUGUUCCACGUGUGGCUUUUUGUAUGUACCUUAUGAAUAAGGAUCGGCUAACUCCGUGCCAGCAGCCGCGGUAAUACGGAGGAUCCGAGCGUUAUCCGGAUUUAUUGGGUUUAAAGGGAGCGUAGGUGGAUUGUUAAGUCAGUUGUGAAAGUUUGCGGCUCAACCGUAAAAUUGCAGUUGAAACUGGCAGUCUUGAGUACAGUAGAGGUGGGCGGAAUUCGUGGUGUAGCGGUGAAAUGCUUAGAUAUCACGAAGAACUCCGAUUGCGAAGGCAGCUCACUGGACUGCAACUGACACUGAGGCUCGAAAGUGUGGGUAUCAAACAGGAUUAGAUACCCGAGUAGUC
rnacentral:rRNA from 1 species